UGCAUUUUCUCUUAUUCAUUUCUUUAAGUGAAUCUAGCUGGCUGAGGCAGCAUAUACCUGUAACCCCAGCACUCAGGAGGCGAAGGUAGGAGAAGACAAGAAUGUAAGUGCUGGGCCGCCUAGCACUGUCUCCAUACACAAAUCAAAUGAGUAACUUGCCUUAGGGCUUGUUUUUGUGGCGCACGCGUGUCUGUGUGUGUACAUGCGUGUGUAUGUGUGUGUGCAGGCGCCUGUACAUGUGUGCAUACCUGUAGGAGCCAGAGGAAAAUCUGGCAGUCAUUUAGACUGCUGUGUACCUUGUUUUGUUUUGUGUGUGUGUGUGUGUGUGUGUGUGUGUGUGUGUGUGUGUGUGUCAGAAUCUCUCUGGCUUUGAGCAAGCCUUAGUAUCAACAAGAGCGACAUGAGGGGCGGACGAGAUGGCUAAGCCUUUAAGAGCACUCACUGCUCUGACAGAGAUUCCGAGUUUGGUUUCAGCCUCUAUGUCAGAUGGCUCACAAGUGCCUGUAACUAGAGUCUCAGGGCAUUUGACCAUCCCUCUGGCCUCUUCAGGCACCUGCAGGCACGCACACAUGCACGCAUGCGCACACGCGUACAUGCGCACACAUAAACACACACACACAAACACACACACACACAGGCAUGCAUGCACACACACACGUGCAAAUAAAAAAUUAAAAAAUAAACUGAAUUUUAAAAGAUCUACACCAGACAUGAACAAUACACGACUCCGUUAUUUACAGGCUAGGACAGGGGCUUUAAAAACAAUGUUAAAAGUUAUUAUUAAUAUGGAUAUCUGUGGUUAUUGUCAACCUGACUGCUGUUCAUGAGUCACACCCCUGGAUGCCUUUGAGGUUGUUCCCACACAAUCUUAACUGAGGAAGGAUUGGGGCACCCACUGGUGGCUCUAUGAGCUGGGGCCUUGGGCUGCGUAAAGAGAGGUGGCCAGCUGACUACGGGCACUCACCUCUUGCCUACCAGCCAGCCAACCUGAUGAGCUAGCCACAAGGACUAUCUCCAAGUACAAAGUAGAUGCUAUUUAAGCGGCUACAACUACAGCUUCGCUGCCUCCUCACUGUGGAAGCCACGUGACAGCUGUCUGCCACCCUGAUGUUAGACAUCCACGGCCGUGAGGGACUAUGCCUUCAAACUCUAAGCCGAUACAAGCUUUUCUUUCCUUAAGUGGCCUCUGUCAGAUAACACAUCACAGCAGCAAUAAAAGUAUACAAUACACCAUCAUUUGACUUUUAAUUCAAGAACACUGCCUCUCUCUGGGGAGUCCACCUCUAACUCUUUGAUCCACUUUCUGAAUUAUUCCCAUAGAGAACUUGGGACUGCCUACUCUCUAUUUACUCAGUAAAAAUCAAAUUGUUUUUAAUGGAUCUUUCCUCAAAUCUCCAGUUGUUCUUUUGUUUUCCUGUUAAUGGAUACAGAGGCUACAUGUAGAUAGUAAAACCCCUUCUCCUCUUUGGAAUCUUCUGAGGCAUGGUAUGUGUAGGCUCCAUUUUAGCCUUGUCUGUCCUCGAGGUAAAUGUCACAUUAAUCAUGAGAGAGGAAUUGGGCCACUCUCAAAAGGCUUGAUGUUUGAACCAAGGACAUCAGUGGCUCCAAUGAGUUGCAGAAUUUUAUCUCAUCGAUUCCUACACAGACAAAGGUUACACAUCAUCCCAAUAUGGGAUCAAAAGGUUUUACUAUUGUUUGGAAGCUGUUGAGUGUUGGAGAGAACAGGCACACCAGAAUGUGGAAGGCAGAAGGCAAUGUUAGUUGUGACUCCUCAAGCACCAUCCAUUUUGUAGUUUAAGACAGGGUCUCUUUGUCGUGGAAGUUAACUGAUUAGGCUGGCUGGCCAGACAGCACGCCCUGCGAAUCUGCCUGUCUCUAUCUCCCCAUGACUAGAAUUACAAGAGUGGGCCACUUUAUCUGGCUUUCUAAAUGUGGGCUUUGAGGGCCCAACUCAAAUUUCCAUGCUUGUGAGGCAAGCGUUUUACAAUCAAGCCACCUUCCCAGCCCCAAGUGUUUUCUUGUUUGUCCUUUUGAUUUACCAACCAAUAAAAUCUGUGUGUCACUCUCUCUCUCCACCACAACUUAUACCAUGCCAACAACUGUUCGAGAGUCACUGAGAAUCGACCAGUCAUAGGAACGCCAAGGACAUAGAUUCUCUGUUGCAGCUGGAUAGACUUGUGGGCAGGUGCAGCUCUGAAAGCCUGAACUGGCUGCUGUUCAGCUGAGUCCUUGCCACCCUGAGAGCAAGAGAUCAGGCCGGGACAAGCUUCAGAGGCCUGGUAUAAAGCCAUUGAAAAAGACAGCAGCAACUCUCAGCUAGGAAACAACCAAAGCAGUGCAGAGAGGUCACAGGGAGGAGGCACAGAUGUGUAACUUAAUGGAAACACUGAGAAAACCCCAAAGCACACGCUCAUCACUGCGCAAAUCUUGAAGAAAGUGAUUCCGUGUAAGGCAGGCUUUUAAUCAUCUCUGUCUAAGCUUUUCUUACUGCAACAGGACUUCGGCAUUUCUGCAAUGCUGGCAGCCAGUGAGCUCCCAGAAUCUGCUAUCUCUGUGCCCUCAGUGCUGCGUUACACUGAAGGCUACCAUGCCUACCUUGUACAUGGCUGCUGGAGAUGCAAACUCAUACUUGCAGAGAAAGCACUCUUCCCACAGAUCACUACCCCAGUAUCUAAAUACAGAAUAAACUUAAAGUUUACAUAAUUAAUAUUUCUGUGAAAAGUAUAUAAGCAAACUUGCAGCCCUUGAUUUAAAAGAUAUUGCUGAAAACUUAGGUUAUUUUUUAAAUCAGAGAUGAGAGCUAUCUACCAAGAAGAAAACAGAAAUAUGUGGAGUGAUCUUUAAUCCAAAAGGAGACAAAGGUUCUCAGUAUCGCCACAGUAGAGCCUGACCCAGAAGACGACCUCUUAAAUGUCAUGGAUUAUAAACACCAUCAAACUAGGAUCAGAAUUCAAAACCAAAGUGAAAAGGAGUAUUCAAAGUCAAGGGGAGCUCGGGAGGGACAGAGUCAUCGUGUUCUAACUCUAGUAGGACUGGCCCUGACCUCAGCAUGCUUUAGGAAAGAAGGGUGGAAGUGAAGACCAGAAAGUUACUCCUGCAUGGUUUAAUUAGCAUCCAUUAACUGCACUCAAGUCUCCUCAGCCCAGUCCUGACCAUCAUUGUCUAGUGUUCAAGACUAGAAAGGACAGUGUCACCUUCCCAGAAGUUUUUGGAAGUUUGGACUUUGCAAGUUGUGUGCCAAAAUCCUUAAUGGUUUUAGUGAUGCUGAGAGCCCCGUUGUAUCUCCCUAAGGCCCACUUUGUCACGUUCAGGUCAACCAACAACUGGAGCUUCUGCCUCCACCACACAUGGAUCCUCCCUCCUAGCCACGCCCUAAACACUGACUCUGGGCUGCAGGAGUUCCAAGAAGUCUGAGUCCAUGUCCUUGUAUACAGGUCUCAGGGCUUUCCUUGCUAACUCCCUCCAUAGUCUUACACGUUCAUAGUCCCAUCUAUGUGCCCUCCGAGGGCUUAAUCAGAAAUCCCAUCCCAUGAACCCAUUCCUGAUCUAUAUUGCCAGCUAAACAGGGAGGACAUAACCUACUGGUUUGUCCCAGCAGAAUAAUGGAUGCUUGAAUGCUAACUGCAUAUCUAAUACUUGCCUUUAAAUGUAAUGGGUCUUCCAUUGUCCUCUCUGAUACACUCAACUUUCUUUUUAUGUGCCCAGUUCUAUUUUCUCUUUACACCCUUCUGGGACACUUGACACUAAAUGGCUGCCACCGCGCCUUCGAAAGGUCACUGAACUUUACUGCCCACGUAUUUAUUUAUUUUCUUUGGGAAUACCAAUACAAUUCAACGAAGGCACUUCAAGUUACCAAAUGCAAUGACCUUCACCUCCUUUGCGCCGAGAGUGACACUUGGCUAAUGAUCUGCUUGGUUGGGUUUGCACAGUGCUUGCUUUAAAGACUGGGGGAGGGCAGUGAGUGGGGAGACUGGCUUCCAGGACACCCAUGUCCUCAGAAACCAAUCCCCAGAGGCUCCAGCUUUGGGCAUUAGUAGCCUGACACCCCAGCACACUUGACAAUAAAAUCUAUUGUGGUGCCAGUCAGCAGGGUGGAAGAAAUUUGAAAAUCAGUCUAGAAAUUCAGGAAGCAAUGGAAUCAAUGUAACCGAAGCUCAAAAUGCUCCCAAGGGUAUUUCACAUUGUCUUUUAAAGAAGAACAAUCCGGUUGACUCCAGCAAGGCCACGCAAAAGUGACUUUUGUGGCAAAGAAGAAGCAAAUCAGCUCAAAUACAUCUCUCUGCAAAAGUAGUUAGAAAAAAAAAUCAAUCUAUAGUUAAACUUAGUAUAUAUGUCAGAAGUAGACAUUCUUAUGAAGAGAAAAUGAUAAAAAAAAUUUUUUUCUUCCAAUUUCCACCAAAAAUCUAGCUAACCUUUUUUUGGUUUCAUGUUAAAGCCAUUGCUUUCAGUGGGGUUUAUUGUCACAGCUUUCCGAUGGCUCUUACUUGGAAAGCUGCACAUCCAGAAGGUGGGUGGAGGGAGAUCAUGCAUUCAAGGUUAUCUUUGAGGCUGACCAAAAUUGCUCAUCAAUCAGAGGCCUCAUAAAGCAAAACCAAACAAACAAAAACAAGAAUGAAAAUGGACGAAGAAGCUAAAGCACAUGGUUACCACAUAAGCCAGAAACUUCUAGAACAGUGGCUCUCAGCCUUCCUAAUGCUGCAACCCUUUUAUACAGUUCUUCAUGUGGUGACCCCCAACCAUUAAAAAAAGUUACUGCCGCUUCAUAACUAUAAUUUUGCUACUGCUGUGAAUCAUAAUGCGAAUACCCGAUAUGCAGCCUGUUUCUUUAAAGUGAACAUAGACAUGGGACUCAAUGACUUCCUAGUGACUUUUCAAAAAUCAGCCCCAAUUAAGUAUCUCCCACUUUUUGAAAGGAAAUGACGUCAUUCGAAACCACAUAACUCAAAAAGAAAUAUGAGAAAGAAAUUAUUGGCUGGAGUUUAAUGACAUGUGUACUUAGUCUGGGAAGGAUGACUGACUGUCUCAGGAAUGCAUGGUACUAGGUGCUUCUUACACCUAAAAGACAACAACAACAACAAACAACAAACAAACCAACAACAAUAACAAAAAAAACCAACCUAUGUCCAAGAAAGACUGGAUUUCUUAGGAAUGAAAAUGGAGGUAUUUUCUUUAGCUUGUAAAAAGAAAUGUAGAAAUGCAAGAAAAUGUCCCAGAAAGAAUAACAAAGACAGCACAUAACCUUGAGAAUUAAUGUCUUCAAUGGCACUGCCAAAGCUGAAUGUGUCUUUCGUCUGAAGAGAUAAUUAAGGAUCGAGUGGGACUUCAACGUUCUUCCAUUCCGUCAGCAUACCAUGGUCACUGACUAAGCUUAGGAGCAAUUAUCAAGAGGUGAGUGUUGUGCCUAUGGUUGUCAUCCCAGCCUUGGGUAGCUGAGAACAUGAGAAUUAUGAGUUCAAAGACAGCUUAUGCUAUAGAAUAAGAGUAGAGCCUACCUCAAAAAAAUUAAUUUAAAUACCUAUGUCUAUGGAAUCGCAAAUGGAGAACAAGAAUUCUCUCACUGGGGCAAGGGGAUGAGCACAAAGGUUCAGAAGGAAGAACCUAAGCACUGUAGAAGAAUGGGACAUAGAAGACUUCUUAGAGCCCACAAGCUCUCCCUAGAGAAACUACUGAGACACUUGUUCCUGAGUCCUUUGAACAUUAAUUCCAAGAUUUAUGAUAUUGAGGAAUCUCUCCUCUGUCCUUAAAACUCAUAUUAUCACUUCUGAGGAGAUUGACUUGAGAGAACCUGAAAACAUGAGUAACAUACUCAAUCAUUCGUUCAUUUGUUUGUUUGUUUCCUUAUUGCAUUUCCCAUUGUUUCUGGCAAUGCUGGGGGUUGAAUUUAGGGUCUCCUGCAUGCUAGGCUAAGGCUCUACCACUGAGCCCCAGCUCUUGUUUCGUUCUAAGAAACAAAAGGAGAGUCAGAAAUCUGGGCCUCUCUCCUGGAUGUGGUUCUAACCAUGUGUAUAAUUCAAGGCCCUGCUAAGCAUGUGCCGUAUCAGUGUCCUUCCCUCCAAAAUGUCUGCCCUUAAAAGGGCAACUGUGAAACAGUAGUAUUACAUGAAUUGUAUACAAUGCCUAUGAUACUGUUAGAAUAACAGCUAGACCAGGCAAGGGCAUAAAUGGAUAGAAAUUUCAAAUGUUCUUGUCCAAGGAAAACUCACUUUCUGUACUCACAUUACAAACACAGAGCCCACAAUCCACAUGACACAAAUCUAUCACUACUGCACACUCAUUGUGACAGUCAGCAUUUUCUUCCUAAACUAGAAAGUCACCAUCAUGAACUAGAAUAUACUACAGUGUAGUGGGAUCUAAUCAUAUGGAAUCAAUGCAAUAACUAAAUAAAAUAAACAGAUAAUGGCCACUCACAGACACAGAGUUACAAUGUAUCAUGUCAAGGAAUCAACUAAACGAUAGACUUAACACAGAGCUGAAAGACGGAUUUGAAACAAAUAGGAGCCCUGGCUAGGGAAGUCUCUCUCUUACUGUUUGUUCAUUCAUCUGUCUUAGGUUUUUAAGCAGAAUUUCAUGUUGAACUGGGAACCCAGUCAUUUUAUGAUUCACCCCGCCUAAUUGGUGAAACCUGUCUAGUGUUCGUGUUUAUAAACCCAACAAUGACCAUUCUCCACCAGGAUGAAGGGUUUCACAAUGUCACUCACAGCUACCUCUGUCCUUUAAAGUCCCUCAGUAAGGGAGCAGGAGGUGUUCUGAGCAGAAUGAAGAAGUCCAGGUUCCAGGGAACAGAGAAAUUCUGACUGGGAUGGGAGCCACUGUCUCCAGAUAAUUAACUCGAACUGUAAAAAUAAGACAUCACUUGCUUAAUACAGAUCUUAGAAAGCUAUGCAGACUGGAGGUUUAGUUACAGGGUACCUGGGCAGAGGAAAUUCCAUUUAAAAAUAUAAGAUAAUUUUAAUUAUGGUCUGGAGUUUGGAAUGUAGGUGUUCUAUGAUUUCUAAUCUCCCAGUCCUGCCACGGACAGUUUCCUUGUCUCCUGUCUGUCUGGCAGAAGCAGGAAAUACCUUCAUAGAAAGCCAGGCCUCUAGGUCAGAGGUGAAUCUCUGUCUCUAACCUUCCGAGUUCCGUCCCGUUUUCCGGGAUUUUAGUAUCUUCUUCCGCCUGCCUCAGGCACCCUGCCUGCCUACACACUCCCUUCAUAAGGAAGAAAGCUCGACAUAAAGUUGAGAUUUGACCCUAGAUUUAGUUUCCCCCAAGGAUUUACGCUAGAUCAUCGUCUGGUGACGUGUCCACCAUGCAGACAGCAUUGUAAGACGAGGCACCCCACCCCAGUGACUGACAGGACUGCGCUCAAGCUUCUCCCAAGGAACUGCACUGAGCUAGAGAAAAUGGGCUCUCAGGAGUUCGCAACUUCCUUCCCGGGGGACAGCCCAUACUCAGGCCCUGAUGGUACAGGGUCAUCCCGACUGUUCAUAUUUCAGGCUCAGAACUUCUGAGGUGGGUGGCUGAGGACUGUGUUCUCCCUCUGUCCCUUCCUAUUUCCGUCUUGUCCACGGUGGGUGCUUAUCACAAAGGCAUUCCACGAGACUUCUCCAACACCCUCGCCCACGUCUCAGAGUCUCAGUGAAUCAUUUGGCAUGCCACCUUUACUUUUCUUAUGACCCAAAAUGUCCCACCAGCACUCAGCAUAUAUCACUAUUAUACCAGAAUUAAAACUGCCCAUUUAAUUUAUAAAAAUUAAACCAACCCCUAAUUUCACCACAAUAGACCAUGUAUUGGCAACAUUCACAAUGAGGAAAAGAUAAUAGGUAUUUUAAUAACUGUAGGUCACACAAUCUGUUGUCACUGACUCAACCCAGCUGUUAUACUACAUUUUUAAUAUGUGAGAAAACAGAUAUCACUUUAUCCCAACCAAAUUUUAUUUAGAAGUAGUUGGAAGGGUAGAUCCCCCCCCCCCACAUAAUUGUUGGUGAACUCUGAAUUCAUGGUUAGCAAGCAGUACUAGAGACACUGCCCAGUGCUUAAGAGUACACGCUGCUCUUGUAGAAGACCUGAGUUCAGUUUCCAGCACAUACAUAGGGCACACCACGAUCACUUAGACCUCCAGCUCCAGGUGAUUCAAUGUCCUCCUCAUGGUUAGGGUGUACGUUUCCUCCUUGUAGGGAUUCCAAUGUUCUGACUACUUCUAUUUUUGCACUACCUUCUACUAGAACCUCAAUAUUCUCUAUUUUUCCAUUUUAUCAUGGAAAAUGAGUAAUAGAGUUGGCCUGGGUAUAAGAUAUGCAGCUUCUAACUUACAACUUACUAAAAACACCCAAUCAUAUGUGAACACAUCAGUAUGACAGAAUUGGGAGGUCUGGAAGCAUUUUCAGCAAGGCAGUGGCCUCUUGGUAGUCCUUCCAUAUCACCAGAGGAACACCAAUAUAAAGUGAGCACAUAUUUGUCUCCAGUGUAGAAGGGAAAUCACUCCAUUUUAAAGCAAACAUUGCUAAGCAUAUGUUUCUGUUCACUUCUGUCUUUGUCCUAAGGGUAUGUAGAGUUUUCUGAAAUACACCAUCCAUUUAUUUUUUUUUUCAUGGAAAAUUAACCAAUGAGUCAAAGACAUAUGCACUAGCUCUAUAAACAUAAUAUCUGUCUAGAUUAAUCCAGCAAACAUGCAAAUGUAAAGUCAUCACGGUGACUGGACAAGUUCUUACUAACUUGCAAAUGGGAGUGGGGGGCAUUCAGAAAGACUCAGCUAAGUCGUACAUGAAGUAAUGAUUGAAAAGAAUGAAUUAAAAAAAGAUGGAAGGGGGAAAAGUACCUCAGAAAAAGGAAUCCACACUUGUGGUCUGGCAGCAAUGAGAACCUAUUGUGAUUUAAGCAAAGUUGCUCUAUGGAAAGAAGGCUCUAGUUCUACUGUGGAAAAUAACUGAGAGAGUUCUUGAUGACCAAUCAGAAGGUCAACACAGUCAUCUAUGACGGAGAGGACAGGAGACUGCAGACAUGGAAAGCAAGGGACAGAUCUCCUGAUACACAGACUUCAUCAAAAGGAUGUGACAGCGUAGGCCGUAUGAGAAGAGUCAAGAAGAGAUAAGAGAACAAGAAAUCUAAGAAGGAGAGCGGACCUGAGAAAAUAGCAUCAGUAGAUCUUUUCAUGUACAGGUGAUCAAAAAAUUAAAAACAAUAACCAUUGGCUUUAACCAUGCAGUGGCACUUUCAUGGAUGACGGAGAGCAAAAGAAAUGGUAACAAUAAAGACAAAUAACCGUUUAAAGAAAAUACUGUGGAGCCUAAAGAAACUCAAGCAAAAGAUUUUGGAACAUUGAAGGAAGCAAGUACACUGGAAAAUAGAAAGAGCCUUCUAGAUAUGGAGAUGUUGGGUAUAUGGCAAGAUAAAAGAAUGGGCCAUCGAGAAGGUCACUUUCCCAAAAGGAUGGGAAGGGGUUGGGUGUGAAGUAAUGGUAGCAGUAUUGAAGGGCUAGCCCCAAGGAACAGAAAGAGGGAAGACGUCAUGGAUGCAGGCCAAAACAAGCAAACAACCAAAAGAAGCCAUCACAUUUUCCAUGUCCGGAACACCUGAAAGUUGAAGGAGUUCCCAUCUGAUAGCGUUUAUUUUAUUUAUGACACAGGAGACGAGGUAUUCAGCUGACAGAUGAAGCAAGAAGGGUCAGAGUAGUGGGAAGAGAGGGGUCAGAUGUUUCAACGGUAGAGAGCAUUUGAAGGAGACAUUGUGGAAACUGAGGAACCUAGUUAAUCCAGAAACACGAUUAGACGGCAGAGCUCUGAUAUCCCAUUCGACCUGUGACAUGAAUUUAGAGCGACACCCAAACGCCUUAUCAUUUCAAUUUUAAAACCAGAACGUCUGAGUUCUAGAUUCCUCGACCAUGAUUCUUUUUGACCAAUCCAUCUCUCCUAUUAAAAAGAGAGUACAAGGGGGUUGAGGAUUUAGCUCAGCGGUAGAGCGCUUGCCUAGCAAGCGCAAGGCCCUGAGUUCGGUCCCCAGCUCCGAAAAAAAAAGAAAAAAAAAAAGAAAAAAGAAAAAAGAGAGUACAGGAUCUAACCUAUGUUGAGCAAUCACACAAAUUAAUAAUUUCACACUUACAACCCCUUAUGUGGUACUACAUCUGUUUUAUGAAGAGAGAACAAAAGAUCACAUUUGUGAACCGUGGGUUAAAAUCAAAAGCAGACUCUGCACCUGUUAGGUUAUUUGCUGUGGUCCUCUCAGAGAACAGAACAUGAAGCCAACCCCACCUGCCACUCCCAAAGAAGCAUCAAACCAUCUGCUUCCAAAGGUUCCCAAAGCUUCCAAGUUAAUGAUGUACUAGCUGCUGUGCUCAGCUUAAGGCCAAAGGAUUAAACAAGUCAUCCCUUUUCUUGGUAUCACCCACACUUUAAACCGGAAGACUGUGUCUACCCAACCGCCACAUUCCACAUAGUAACCCAACUUCAUUGUGUUAAGCUGAGCAGUAGCUUUGACAGUCUAACAGACGGUGGUGGGAUAUUUUCAUAAAUCAGAGCCUAAGAAUGGCAACGAUGUAUCACUGUCAGUGCACCAACCCCCUUUCCCCUCCAAGUAAGGCUUCGGAAUGAUAGGCCUCGUAUUGGUUUCCUAAGGAAAUUAGGUAAAAUUGUACUAAAUCCAAAAUCACCAGUAAUCUGUUCUAGAUCUAACAUGGUCUCCGUGGGGCUGAGAGCAAUACACAGGAGACUCUAGCUCGGUGCUUCUCCUUCAUGAUGAUGAGAAGCUCUUAAUUACAGAAAAAACAUCUGAUUGUGCAUGAAGAGUGAUUCCCUCUCCAAUCCAUUUCAGUACAGACACAUCUAGAUUUCAACAUGAUCAACGGUUUUUUCAUAGACCUAUGGAUAACACACGUUUCACUUGGUGAUGUUAAAAUACUGUCUACGAUACUGAGACAUACGGUCCUCUCAAGAACUCCAUCACCCUUACCCACUCACUGAGAUCCUUCUCCUCCGAGCUUACCUUUGAGUUCCAAUUGUUGAAAUACAAUCUUGUGAUGUUCGUAUCUUGGUAACUAGAUAAAAACCGAAGGCUAGCCCUGACACUCAGCCCACAACAUCCUAAGGGUUUUUUACGUUUCCCAAGAACCUGGACAUGGUCAUUCUUGCCUAACACUCAUAGUUCAGAGAUGAAACAACAAGAGAGCUAGAAAACUAGACUCACUUGUCCAAAACCACACUACCAGCUAGGCAGUGGGCAUAGAGCAGCAGUCCUCUUUGUACUGCUGAGAAGACUUCUGCUCUAAACAGGGAGUGGCAAUUGAACUCGAAAGGAUCGACUAGUAAUUCAGGACUCUGAAAAUGACUCUAAGGAAAUUAAAGAGAAAACUUAGAAAUGGAAAGAAACAAUAAAAGUCAAAUGUCUCUUCCUGACCCAACAGCUUAAAAGAAGCAAGAUGUUAGUGUGCUGCUGUUGCCGCUGCUACUGCUAACAUCACUGCCGCUGCUGCUCUGGGCUGGGAGAUCAAGAGCCCUACACUCAAACAGCUCACGCUCCAUGUUCUCUGAAAGGAAUUGGUCAGAGGAAGGAAAGCAAAACGCUUUCUCUUGUGCUUUUACAAAUGAAACUUCUACUUGCUUCUAAUAACAAAAAGUGCACGAGGGGGAGUCUACCUCUGAAGCUACAUUUUAAAAGCAGGGACACAGCCCUUCUACCAUAGGACUAGCUAGCCUUGGACCGUUGGCCCUCAAAACUGACCUGCUAAUCAUGGCUUUGGUGCAACAGCAGCAAACGUCCUUUAAGAGCCCAUUGAUGAUCUUCAGAAAGGUACUCAAAGUGUCGCUCAUUUUAGAAAUGAUUUCCGGUGAAAUCAGUGAGAAGUCAUGCUCCAGCCCUUGCUGCCUGUAACCUCACCCCUUGUUUGCCACAUUCAAAUAUGUCUUCAUGAAAUAAACUAAAGAGGUUUCACUCCAUGGAGUCCAAACUUUGAAGUUGUUCAUCCCCUCGAAUUCAAACCUGAAAGCCCCUCCCACGGGUCACUUCAAAUCCACCAAAUGUAAACAGGAUUGCACACUGGACCAUUCACCACCUUGGAGUUCAAGCCCUCAACCAACAUGCCCAAGGCUGGGUUGCUCUUCUUAUUCUCUUUUCAUCCUAAUUCUAGAUCUUCUAGUUCUUCAUUCAUUCAUUCAUUCAUUCAUUCAUUCAUUCAUUCAGUUUUUGAAGGACCUCAACCUUAUUUCCCAUGAGGAAUCAAAGGCAAUCAAACCCAUGGAAGUGCACAGAGGAAGACGGUUGCCAGUUGGGGAGAAGGAGCGAGUGGGAGUUGUUCAGGAUGUCUAGACUUUCAGUUGAGGCAAGAUGAGAAGAUUCUAAAAGUCUGCUUACAAUAGAAUGCCUAUAAGGAGCAGUCCUGUAAACUAUCUUAAAUCUACAAGGGCAGAUUUCAUACAAUAUGUCAU